rnacentral:rRNA from 1 species
GAUGAACGCUAGCUACAGGCUUAACACAUGCAAGUCGCGGGGCAGCAUGGGGGUUGCUUGCAAUCCCCGAUGGCGACCGGCGCACGGGUGAGUAACGCGUAUCCAACCUGCCCUUCACCACGGGAUAACCCGGCGAAAGUCGGACUAAUACCGUAUGUUGUCCAUUGACGGCAUCCGAUUUGGACGAAAGGUUUGGCGGUGAAGGAUGGGGAUGCGUCCGAUUAGCUGGACGGCGGGGUGACGGCCCACCGUGGCGACGAUCGGUAGGGGUUCUGAGAGGAAGGUCCCCCACACUGGAACUGAGACACGGUCCAGACUCCUACGGGAGGCAGCAGUGAAGAAUAUUGGUCAAUGGGCGUAAGCCUGAACCAGCCAAGUAGCGUGCAGGAUGACGGCCCUAUGGGUUGUAAACUGCUUUUAUGCGGGGAUAAAGUGGCCCACGUGUGGGUUUUUGCAGGUACCGCAUGAAUAAGGACCGGCUAAUUCCGUG